UACGUAGGGGGCAAGCGUUGGUCCGGAAUCAUUGGGCGUAAAGCGCGUGUAGGCGGCCUUGUAAGUCCGUUCUGAAAGCCCGGGGCUCAACCCCGGGAGGCGGAUGGAUACUGCAAGGCUCGAGUACGGAAGAGGCGAGUGGAAUUCCCGGUGUAGCGGUGAAAUGCGCAGAUAUCAGGAGGAACACCAGCGGCGAAGGCGGCGCUCUGGGCCGGUACUGACGCUGAGGAGCGAAAGCGUGGGUAGCAAACAGG
rnacentral:rRNA from 1 species